rnacentral:rRNA from 1 species
CCUACGGGAGGCAGCAGUGGGGAAUAUUGGACAAUGGGCGAAAGCCUGAUCCAGCCAUGCCGCGUGUGUGAAGAAGGCCUUCGGGUUGUAAAGCACUUUCAGUGGGGAAGAAAGCCUUGGGGCUAAUACCCUCGAGGAAGGACAUCACCCACAGAAGAAGCACCGGCUAACUCCGUGCCAGCAGCCGCGGUAAUACGGAGGGUGCGAGCGUUAAUCGGAAUUACUGGGCGUAAAGCGCGCGUAGGCGGUCUGAUAAGCCGGUUGUGAAAGCCCCGGGCUCAACCUGGGAACGGCAUCCGGAACUGUCAGGCUAGAGUGCAGGAGAGGAAGGUAGAAUUCCCGGUGUAGCGGUGAAAUGCGUAGAGAUCGGGAGGAAUACCAGUGGCGAAGGCGGCCUUCUGGACUGACACUGACGCUGAGGUGCGAAAGCGUGGGUAGCAAACAGGAUUAGAUACCCCUGGUAGUC